rnacentral:snoRNA from 1 species
AUUCUGUGAUGAACAACCUUUUCAAACAGUUAUCCCUGUCAUAAGAUACUUGAUGAUAAAGUUUGCUGACA